CGAACGAGUAUAAUUGUACAU
rnacentral:snRNA from 1 species